rnacentral:misc_RNA from 1 species
GAACUGCGAAAAGUAAUGUGACCUGCAAACUUCGUGAAUCAUCCAAUCUUUGAACGCAACUUGCACCUGAUGGCUUUUGUCAACAGGUAUACUUGUUUGAGUAUCAUUAACACUCUCUCACACUUGUGUGGGGAAUUGAGCGUCUCGACAGAGUCGUUUUAAAGGUAGACCUGAGCGUACCUCUUGGACGUAUGGUCUAUUGGGAUAACAUCCUAACAGUAGACUGUUCAUGAUGGUCAGUUAUCGUAAGAUAACCUCAUGUACCCGUCCGUAAGGACAACUUUUAAACAUUGAUCUCAAAUCAAGUAAGGAUACCCGCUGGAUUUAA